GGGCAGCAGCCACUGCUGGAGCAGGUAAUUACGUAGCUGGACAGAUGGACCGGGCGCGGACGCACAGCGCCCUCCCCGCGCUCUGGCCCCUGGAGGGCCCCGAGUGGGCUGACGAGCAGCGCGUGGGCCUUCCAGAAGCGGGCUGAUUGGACCCAGCUCAGGACUUCGUACAAGGGCAGCUCUUUGUUUACGGCUCCUCUUUCCUCCUCCUUCCCGUUUCCUUUUCGCCCUCCACCUCCCUUUUCAGGUUAUCUGUUCCGCCCCGGGGGCGGGGGUCCUGUCCAGCUGCCCUUCUCCCAGUCCGGGCCUCUCGCGCUACAGUUGGGGACCCUUUGCCGGGAGAUGUGGAUCCCACCUGGGACUAGAACCUGGAUUUUGAGAAUUCUUGUUCAAUGCUCUCCACUUACUGCAGCUGAGGGAAAGGGAACUGUCCAUUUAAAUAGCUGAUGUUGGUAAGUGCUUUGGGGAGACAAGGUUCUCUUGAUCUGUAUAGGGCUCAUGUGUGAAUAUGACUUACGGUACAUUGGGAGAAUCAACCAAGAGUGCAAGGCAUCAAGGAGGGAGGUAGAAAGGAGUGAGGGAGAGAGGAAGAGAGAGAGAGAGAGAGAGAGUUAAAGAGGAGGAGGGGAUAUUGUCUGCACUGUGUUCCUCUUGAGGGUGCUGCAGAAACAACGGGCAGGGAUCAGUGUAUCAGAUGCAGCCAGUGUGGG
rnacentral:lncRNA from 1 species